UGGAAGACUGUCUUGAUAGGAGACUCUCUCCAGAGAUUCUCUUGCUUCCUUGAUGAAAUAUGAGAUUGUGCAGAAAAUGUUCAUGUGGCAAGGAACUUAGGUGGCUUCUAGGGACUUCAGGAGGCCUCCAGUUGCUAAGGAGGGGGAUUGUAGCUGACAAGCAGAAAGAAGGCUAAGAUUGCAGACUCACAACCAGGAAAUGAAUUCUGCAAGCAACAUGAAUGAACUUGGAACAGGACAUCAGAAAAGCGAGAACUCUUCAGAGGAGUAGCUCCAGAAGUCUGCAUUGAGAUUCACUAGGAGUACGUGAUCCAGAUGAGAUUGCCCAUGUACAAGUACCGCCUUAUGUUUCUUUGGAAUGAAAAAUUCAACCUUUCCCUGCUGUCAGUCAUGUGGUCCCAGCUCCAAGAGCCCCCUAAUUGGAAUAAACCAAUAAGAGGUUGUCUUAAAAUGGACCGGUAACCAACCAGAGCCAAUGAGAUGUGGUAAGUCAUCUGUGGGAUUUCUGGGAAAGAGAAGUCUUCUGUAUUUCUUUGAAUUGGUCAUUGUGAUAAUGUAUGCCUAGAGCAACUGUAAGUAUGACAAUGGAGGCACAAUAGAGAAUGGAGUCCAAAGAGAUGCUUCAAACAAUAGCAUUUGAGCCCCGUAUCCAACCAACCUUUUAAAUAAUAUGAAGUAAUAGAUUAAUUUUGGUUUAAUUUAGUAGACCUCAAUUGCAGGUAAUUUCAUCCCCCAGGGAAUAUUGGGACAUGCUAUGAGACAUUUUUUAUUUUCACAGCUGGGGGUUGGGGUGGGGCGAGGUAGGCAGUGUAGGAGGUUGUUAUUGGUAUCUAGUGAGUAAUGAUCAGGGAUGCUGCUAAACUUCCUACAGUGCACAGGACAAGCCCAUACAACAAAGAAAUACUUGUCCCAAAGUGUCAAUAGUGCUGAAGCUGAGAAAUUCCAGUUUAAACCACUUUGAGCUAAAUUAUCU
rnacentral:lncRNA from 13 species